rnacentral:rRNA from 1 species
UAGAGUUUGAUCCUGGCUCAGGAUGAACGCUGGCGGCGUGCCUAAUACAUGCAAGUAGAACGCUGAAGGAGGAGCUUGCUCUUCUGGAUGAGUUGCGAACGGGUGAGUAACGCGUAGGUAACCUGCCUGGUAGCGGGGGAUAACUAUUGGAAACGAUAGCUAAUACCGCAUAACAGUAGAUGUUGCAUGACAUCUACUUGAAAGGUGCAAUUGCAUCACUACCAGAUGGACCUGCGUUGUAUUAGCUAGUUGGUGAGGUAACGGCUCACCAAGGCGACGAUACAUAGCCGACCUGAGAGGGUGAUCGGCCACACUGGGACUGAGACACGGCCCAGACUCCUACGGGAGGCAGCAGUAGGGAAUCUUCGGCAAUGGACGGAAGUCUGACCGAGCAACGCCGCGUGAGUGAAGAAGGUUUUCGGAUCGUAAAGCUCUGUUGUAAGAGAAGAACGAGUGUGAGAGUGGAAAGUUCACACUGUGACGGUAUCUUACCAGAAAGGGACGGCUAACUACGUGCCAGCAGCCGCGGUAAUACGUAGGUCCCGAGCGUUAUCCGGAUUUAUUGGGCGUAAAGCGAGCGCAGGCGGUUAGAUAAGUCUGAAGUUAAAGGCUGUGGCUUAACCAUAGUACGCUUUGGAAACUGUUUAACUUGAGUGCAAGAGGGGAGAGUGGAAUUCCAUGUGUAGCGGUGAAAUGCGUAGAUAUACGGAGGAACACCGGUGGCGAAAGCGGCUCUCUGGCUUGUGACUGACGCUGAGGC